rfam:Lysinibacillus contaminans strain DSM 25560 Scaffold3, whole genome shotgun sequence.
CGCGGGGUGGAGCAGUGGUAGCUCGUCGGGCUCAUAACCCGAAGGUCACAGGUUCAAAUCCUGUCCCCGCAA